CUUCAGACUCCGCCCACCUCAGACUCACUCCUCAAAGAGAAGUCUUGUUCUGAAAUCUCGCGAGAUGUGAGUACCGGAAGCCAGCGGUGGAUGAGAGGACCAUGGAGGAAACAUUGUCUUUGGCACCGUGUAGCACUGCAUCACCAGGGACACUGCAAUACACGCUGGGACUGGCAAAUAACAGCAUGAACUCGGGGCUGAGGACAAUUUCAAGAUGAGCAGGCAGCAACGUGAAGGCCAAGUGAAGAUGAGUAAGAAGACGAAGGCAGUGACAGGUGAGGAGUGGACGAGCGAGGAAAAGAUGGCACACAAGCACCACCAGGAUCCCCGUGAACCAUCACUUGAAACAGGAAGUGAGCCUCAGUGAGAGGUCGGUGACUCUUCCAAAGCUAGAUGGCAGAAGAGCCCCACUGCAGCUGAGCUCAGCUUUGCUCCGUCAUCAUCCCAUCUUUGCAUUGCAAAUUGCCCGAGUCACCAUCACUCCCAAUAACAGCUCCGCUCCAUCUCCCAAAAUGAAAAUCAGAGUUAUGGUGGGAUUGCCUACCGGGAGAAUUUCUUUCAUCAGCUUUCGGGACGGGACGCCUGCCUGUCCGAGUGUCACCCUCCACCCCUCUCUCCAUCCUCUCCAUCUCCACCUCCACCCCUCUCUCCAUCCUCUACACCCUCCAACCUUUACUCCUUCUCCAUCUCCACCUUCACUCUCCACCUCCACCCUCACACACAUGCUGUCAUUAACAGAGUUCAUCUCUUUGCCAGGAUUUACAUUCUUCCCCAUAAAGAUUCACCUCCUCCUCUUCCUCCUCCUCCUCCUCUUCCUCUUCUUCCUCCUCCUCCUCCUCCUCUUCCUCCUCCUCCUCUUCCUCCUCCUCCUCCUCCUCUCUUGCCACCCACACCUCACUGUUCCCACUUCAUGAUUUGUUAGCCACACAUCAAGCACAUCAUACUUACACAGGAUGCUCUCUCCUCUCUCUCUCUCUCUCUCUCUCUCUCUCUCUCUCUCUCUCUCUGUCUCUCUUUCUCUCUCUCUCUCUCUCUGUCUCUCUUUCUCUACACCUCCCCUCCACCUCUA